GCCAAUUCCUCUUCCCCGUCAUAAAUCUUCAUGGAUUUCUUAAUCUGUUCCCCAUUCCUAUUUGUUCUCCCAAAUUGUUUUUAUCUUUUCUCUAUUUCCUUAAAUAAUUUGACCUCUUAUUUUAUCCCUCUCUCAUAAAAAAUAUAUUUUCUACUUCAGUAAAAUUCUUCCUAAAAAUGUUUGAGUAUUUUAGGUUCUCAGGAAUAGAUUAAUUCAUAGUUUCUCUUGAAUAAAUCCCCAUGGGUUCUUCUUUAUCACACAUAUGUAUCCUUCAUCCCUCAAUGAACUUUAAGCUCAUCAAUAGAAAGGAGCACAAUUUUCAUUUCUCUUGUAUAUUCUAUAUCUUUUGACUUAGACCUUUGCUUAUUGUUGGCCCACAAUAAAUAAUCCUGAUUAUGCAUCACCAUUCUAUGUAUCACUUCAUCUGGACAGAAUUAUGACAGAAGCAUAUUUUUGUGGUAAUUAUAUAGUGGUCAUUACCAGUGCCUCAGAUCGUAUAUCAAUUUCUCUCAGCAAAAAAAGAAUAUAAAUUCCUUGUUAUUUUCACCCCCAAAGAAUCUAUGAGCCCAACAAAUUAUCUCUCUCUGAUGAUGAUUUAAAAAUCACCUGAUGAUGACUUUGCAACAUUCCCUCUUUUGUGUGAAUUCUAAACACUGAGUGUUUCUAUCAAACAAAAAGCAUUUAUUAAGUACCUAAGUUUGUAUUUUAAAAUUACUACCAUCAUACUGAAUGCAUACCAAUCCUUCCAAUCACUCCCUCUUUCCCAGAUUUUUGUGUCUUGGUUCUAGUUUCUUCCCAUAAGUUGAAGAGAGUGAAUUACUGUUUCAAUACAGCAACAUUUUGAAAUGAAUCUAUGAUUUCAUCAAAAUGGUCCAGAUAUUUGGAAUUCAAAAUAUGCACACCUUCUCAUCUUCAUAUAAUAUAUUCAAUGGGUUGUUGCACUAGGAUUCUGGAAAUUCUGCAUUCAAAUCCUGCUUUUGACACUAACUGGUUGUCAAUCAGUCAAUAAAUAUUAAGCAUCUGCCAGGCAAAACUUCUCUAAGCCACAUUCUCCUCAACUCUAAAAUAGGGAUAGCUAAUAGCUAUAACACCUACUUUACAAGAUUUGUGUAAGAUUCAACUGAGAGCUUUGCAAAGAGCUUUGAAUAAUGUGUCACAUCAAUAUUAAUUAUUAUUGUUGGUAUCCUCUCAUAAAUCUUCCAUAAGAAUUACUCAAUAUACUGCUACAGGGAGAAUUGUGCCUCCUGCCAAAUGAGUACUCCUGAUUUUUUUUUCUCUUGGUAUAAAAGUUGAGCCAAUUGCAGAAAAAUUUUUAUCUUGACAGAGACUUUUUUUGUGAGAACUGAGAGCCAUGUCUUUGAUUCACCAUUGCAACAAGAUUGACAGAAGCCAUACCACUAGAGAUCAGAGGUUCUUCCUUAACCUUUUCUGUUUCAUAAACCAUUUUGGCAGCAUGGUGAAGCCUUGGAACUUAUAGAGCCUUCUUAAAAUAAUAUGAGUGCCAUCGGUCAUUCACAAAGAGGCUCUUUAAAGUCUUGGAUUUUGAUGUAAUAGUACAAUGCCAUUCCCAAAUAGGAGCAUACAGAGGACCUUUCCAUGAUUCCUUCUCAGUCUGAAUUUCCUCCAUUCCAACAGCAAAUACUUUUGGCCCAGCACAGAAAAGAUCGUCUUGGUCCUUUGAGCUUUUAUACGGACAGAGAGCAGACUCUAAACCCGAGG